CCUACGGGUGGCAGCAGUGAGGAAUAUUGGUCAAUGGUCGAGAGACUGAACCAGCCAAGCCGCGUGAGGGAAGAAGGCACUCAGUGUUGUAAACCUCUUUUGUAUGGGAACAAAAAGUGGGACGCGUGCCCGGAUGUGUGUACCAGAUGAAUAAGCAUCGGCUAACUCCGUGCCAGCAGCCGCGGUAAUACGGAGGAUACGAGCGUUAUCCGGAUUUAUUGGGUUUAAAGGGUGCGGAGGUGGAUUGGUAAGUCAGUUGUGAAAGGCCGGGGCUCAACCCUGGGAUUGCCGUUGAAACUGGCAGUCUUGAGUGCGGGAGAGGUAGGCGGAAUGCGUGGUGUAGCGGUGAAAUGCGUAGAUAUCACGAAGAACUCCGAUGGCGAAGGCAGCUCGCUGGACCGCAACUGACGCUGAGGCUCGAAAGCGUGGGUAUCAAACAGGAUUAGAUACCCGUGUAGUC
rnacentral:rRNA from 1 species